ACUCUUUUCUCUCCUUCAAACCUAGCCGUCAUCAUUGUAGGCCAUCUCUGGCCGUCGUUGGAGCUUGUUAGAGAUGAUGGAGAAUCAAUAAUAUGUUGAUGCUUUAGCAAUGUGUUAUCUCAUUCUUAUGCCUCUAUAACUCUUAUGUUUUCGCGUUUCGGUUUCCCUCCGCCGUUUUGUGAGCACACCACCGCCAUCUUAUUUGUUUCUUGCUACUGCUGUUCUUGAUCUUCACAUUUUGGGUUGAGCAUGUUUGCCGGAUGGGUACACAGCUGUUGCAGACACAUUACAAUCAGCUACUUUCCAAACUAGCUUGGACUUAUUACGGGUCAACCUGCGCAGAGCCCGCCUCGUGGGGUUCGUACCGUGUGCCCACUUGCUUUUGUUCUCUCACCAACUAGGGAGAUAUCAAUGCAGAUACAUGAAGAGGCUAAGAAGGUUGCAUGCCAGACCGGGGUUAGGGUGGUUGUUGCUUAUGGCAGAGCUCCAGUUAACCAACAGGUUUAUGUCCUAGCUUUUAU